AGAGAUGCAAGUUUAGACUAUUGUAAAAGAAAAGCUAAAGUAAGAAAAGAUGAGAUAAAUUUUCUAGAAACAAAGUUGAAUAAACUAAAUAAUGAAAUAAAUGAUAGUACUGAUAUAAAUAAAACAUUACAAAGAGAAAUAGAGAAUGUUGAAAAUAAGUUAGAUACUCUGUAUAAAGAUAAGAUUAAAGGGCAAAAAAUAAGGUCAAGGG
rnacentral:lncRNA from 1 species